UACGGAGGGUGCAAGCGUUAAUCGGAAUCACUGGGCGUAAAGCGCACGUAGGCGGCGUGGUAAGUCAGAUGUGAAAGCCCCGGGCUUAACCUGGGAAUUGCAUUUGAUACUGCCGUGCUCGAGUCUGAGAGAGGGGGGUGGAAUUCCAGGUGUAGCGGUGAAAUGCGUAGAUAUCUGGAGGAACAUCAGUGGCGAAGGCGGCCCCCUGGCUCAAGACUGACGCUGAGGUGCGAAAGCGUGGGGAG
rnacentral:rRNA from 1 species